rnacentral:rRNA from 1 species
ACCAAAAAUUUAGCCCAUAUUAUCUUAUGAGAAACAAAAACCUUAUCAUUUUAAUUAAAACAUUCUAUAAAUUUAGUAAAGGAGAUUAAAAAAUUAAUUGGAGCAACAAAAAUAGUACCGCAAGGGAAAAAUGAAAUAAAAAUGAAAUAAAUUUUAAGUACAAAAAAGUAGAGAAUUAACCUCGUACCUUUUGCAUCAUGGUUUAACUAGUUAAAUUAAGCAAAAUGAUUUACAGUUUUUCUCCCCGAAACUAAGUGAGCUACUUCUGGGCAGCUAAAUGAGCAAACCCGUCUCUGUUGUAAAAGAGUGGAAAGACCCACAAGUAGAGGUGAUAGACCUAACGAACCUAGUGAUAGCUGGUUACUCAAAAAAAGAAUUUUAGUUCAACCUAAAGUUUUUAUUAUAACUUUAAAUAUAACCUUGACUUUAGAGCAAUUCAAAUAAGGUACAGCCUAUUUGAAACAGGGUACAACCUAUUCUAUUGGGUAAACUAAUGUUACAUUUAACAAAGUGGGCCUAAAAGCAGCCACCUUUUAAAUAGCGUCAUAGCUUAAUUUUAUAAACACAAAAUCUCUUAAAUAAAAAUGAACCCAUUAACUUUAUUGAGUAAUUCUAUAUUAUUAUAGAUAUAUAUUAUGUUAAAACUAGUAAUAAGAAGAAGACCUUCUCUUUAAUGUAAGUGUAAAUCAGAUAGGACAAACCACUGAUAAUUAACAUUUAUGAUAAAAUUUAAUAACUCAACAAGAAAAUCUUAAUAAAUUAUAUGUUAACCUAACACAAGAACAUUACAAGAAAGAUUAAAAGAAAAAGAAGGAACUCGGCAAAUCUAAACCUCGCCUGUUUACCAAAAACAUCGCCUCUUGAUUAAAUAUAAGAGGUCCAGCCUGCCCAGUGACUCUGUUCAACGGCCGCGGUAUCCUAACCGUGCGAAGGUAGCGUAAUCACUUGUUCUUUAAAUGAGGACUAGUAUGAACGGCAUCACGAAGGUUUUACUGUCUCCUUUUUUUAAUCAGUGAAACUAAUCUCCUCGUGAAGAAACGAGGAUAAAUUUAUAAGACGAGAAGACCCUAUGGAGCUUUAAACUAUAUAUUAAUCGCUUAUUUUUUACUAAAUUUCAGAAUUUUACUAUUUAUUCUAGCCCUAUAGUAUUAAGUUUUAGGUUGGGGUGACCGCGGAGUAAAAAAUAACCUCCACAUUGAAAGGAUAUUUUCCUGAACAAAAAACUACAAUUUUAUGCACCAAUAAAUUGACAUUAAUUGACCCAAUAUAUUGAUCAACGAACCAAGUUACCCUAGGGAUAACAGCGCAAUCUACUUCAAGAGCUCCUAUCGACAAGUAGGUUUACGACCUCGAUGUUGGAUCAGGGUAUCCUAGUGGUGCAGCCGCUACUAAAGGUUCGUUUGUUCAACGAUUAAAACCCU